UACAGAGGGUGCAAGCGUUAAUCGGAAUUACUGGGCGUAAAGCGUGCGCAGACGGUUGCGUAAGUCAGAUGUGAAAGCCCCGGGCUCAACCUGGGAAUUGCAUUUGAGACUGCGUAGCUAGGGUGCGGAAGAGGGAAGCGGAAUUUCCGGUGUAGCGGUGAAAUGCGUAGAUAUCGGAAGGAACACCAGUGGCGAAAGCGGCUUCCUGGACCAACACUGACGCUGAGUGAGCGAAAGCCAGGGGAGCAAACGGG
rnacentral:rRNA from 1 species